UACAGAGGGUGCAAGCGUUAAUCGGAAUUACUGGGCGUAAAGCGUGCGUAGACGGUUAUUUAAGUCAGGUGUGAAAGCCCCGGGCUCAACCUGGGAAUUGCAUUUGAGACUGAAUAGCUAGGGUGCGGAAGAGGGAAGCGGAAUUUCCGGUGUAGCGGUGAAAUGCGUAGAGAUCGGCAGGAAGACCAAGGGGGAAGCCAGUCACCUGGGCCCGCGCUGACACUCAUGGACGACCGCGUGGGGAGCGAACCGG
rnacentral:rRNA from 1 species